UUAAAAUAAAAAAUGUUCAUGCCGUCCCUCUCCCCCGUCUCCGCUUCUCCACUUGCCGGCGGAUCGCCGCUGGGUAGAGAUGGUUCGGACGCUUGGAGUAAAGAGGAGAACGCUGAAGAAAAGGAGACAGAAGAACCGUCUCUGGUUGAGGUGGAGAAGAGCGAGGCCUUCGACUGGGGAUAACUGGAAGCAGAUGAAUAGGAAAUCGAGUGUAUAGUUGAGGUAGAUGAGAACGACGAAAAUAGGAGAGGGAAUGAGGCCUUGACCUGAUUCUCUGGCUCCCGAUCGUUGCUCCUAUUGACAGAAGUAAGCGGUCUGGAGUCGUAUUUGUCCUCGAAAAGGCCUGUCUUGAGGUGAGAAAGUGGGAAAGAAAAGCUAGGGCUUCUGGCUUUGUUCUCCGGAUAGUGUUUGAUACUCCAAGUUCUGGUAGGAUGUAAAAGGAAUUGUUUUAUCUUCCAUUCCUUAGCGUCGUAAAUGGCAGGAGAUAGGGUUUUGUUAGAUGUUUACCUUUAUUCCUGCAAUGUGGUUAAUUUUUUGACGUUAUGUGGGUUUGAACUAGACAGUGACUUCCUUGAUGAUGUCAGUGAGCUCGAGCUCCUACAUAAAAUCUGCGUGAAUUCUCAUAGUUUAGUUGAAGGCAAAAUAAUUUGCUCAUACACUAAAUUUAUAUUUUCCUUCGAUUUGGUUUUACUUUUAAGAAAACAGAUAAGGUUUAUGAAGUAAAUAGUUUCAUUUCAAUUGUUUUUCAUAAGAUCAAUUAGGCAAAGCAUUCAUUGCCACAAUGUUUGUUUAAUAAACUGUUUUUCUCUGUCUCAAAAUUUGCAAAUCCUGAUCAGACGACUAUGCUAAUUAUCUGAAGAAGCAGGAUUGUGACCCUGCAGAUUAUAGACCUGACAUCAUUCACCUGGUUAGUUGAUUUGUUACCGAUGUUGUGUUUUUGAUUUGUUUUGAAUUAUCUUCUUCUUAUGGCAAAUGGAAUUGCCUUGUCUUUAUUGUCAUCUAUAUCAUAAUUUGACACAUUUUGAUUACAGUGCACUUAAAACAUUUUCAUCAAAUUGUAUACAUUGUCUUGUCACAAGAAGCCCAUUUCAAAAUCCCUCAUGAGCUGUUCAUUCUGAUGGAAUAGUUCUGGUUACCGUUAGAUGCUCAUUUUCUAUGUUUACCUAUUGGAAUGUUUGUGUUCGUAUGCUAAUUAAAAUAUUUUCUUGAGUUUGCAACUAUAGUAAAAAUUGACACACAAACUGACUAUGAUGUUAGCCAUUUCAUGCAAUAUUCAAUAGUCCCUUAGUUAAAGUUGUAGGCUGCAAGCUCUGCAUGUGAAAAUAGAGAAAGGUGUUAUUUUCAAAAUUAAACCAUAUGUCCAUAUACCAAGAGCUUUCAAGCACUUCUAUGGUCUUCUGUCUAAUUAUCAAGAUUUUCCAUUAAUAUCACAUUUAAUUUUGUUGAAAUACUCACAUCUUGAGUGUUGCAGCACAAUUGUUGUAAAAGUUAAGCAUAACAGCUGUUGUUAAGCACAAGAAGCUUCUUGAUGUAAUAAAGAACCUUGUUACUCGUCACUUGCCAAUAAAUUCCAAAAAAAUAGUGAUUUCUUAUUUCCAUUUUUUAUUUUAAAUUUUUUUUUAUUAUUAUCAUCAUCUCAAUUCUUGAAGUCUUGACUUAGCUGGUCUCUCUCAUAUUUCAGCAAAAAUGGUAAACUUGUCUAAUUGUGUUGAUGCUGCUAGUGAUGAUGCUAUACUUGCUUUUGUGGUUGGUGCAAUGGGUCACAGAGAGAUCAUACGUUGAUGAUUUUGUAUCAAGUCCCAUGGCAUUCAACAUGCAACAAUAAUUUUUGUUAAGGUGGUCUACAAUACAUCCAAUGUUGUCCGACCCUUCUCCGGAAUCCUAUAUUGGCAGGAGUUUCGUGCAUCGGGUUGUCCUUUUUUUUAUACUACUAAAUUUUUUUCUAUGAUAGAAGAUCUUCACAUGCUAUUUUGUGUGUCAAAUGGGUUGAGCAACCCACAACCCAACCCCACCCUCAAUGUGUUGAGUUGUGCCCAACAUGAUAAGCAACCAAGUUUGUGCUAGGUGGAUGUUCCAUUUGUCUAUUUGUUGUGUUCUACUUGACACUCAGGCUAAGUUUAGUCUCUGCACUCAUGUGUUGAGCACAAUCCAAGCUUAUACCUGACAUUAUUUUCCCAUGGUAUUUCCUUAGUAUCCUGUAAAAUAUUUUAAAAAUUAGAUAAAAAGAGCAUUAUGAUGAUUUCUUAUGAUAAAUUUUAUCAUUAAAAGAUUCUAGAAAAUACAAAAAACAUAUCCUACCCUUCCUCCACCAUCCUCUAUCAAAUUCCUUCUCUAAUUCUCCACCCUCAGUCCCUCAUCUCUCAGUCUCAUAUCUUAUUUUCCCAUGGCAUGCCCUUAGUACCAUGUAAAAUAUAUUAAAAAAAAUAGAUAAAAAGAGCAUUAUGAAGAUUUUUAAUAAUAAUUUUAUCAUUAAAAUGAUUAACCAAUUCUAGAAAUACAAAAAAUAUCAUCCCCUUCCUCCACUCUCCUCUAUCAAAAUCCUCUAUCUCUAAUUCUUCAUCCUCAAUCCCUCGUUUUUCAAUCUCAUUUCUUAUAUUCACAAGUCAAUUUUUUUAGAGAUUAUCCAUCGGUUCACAAUUUUAGAGAUAACGGGCGUUAAGGCAGUAAUAGCAUUAUUCAAGUUCUAUGGGUGUUAAGACAACUGGAAUGCAUUAAUUACAUGUUCAUGUUCAUAUGUAUUUCUUGAAAAAAACAUUAUAAUUCCUGAAAAAUAAUAAAAUAUUAUACAUAUAUUGUGAUUUUUUUUUAAAAAAAAAUCCUCUAACCAUGCUUGGCCCCAGCAUAUGACACGUUAUCAAUUCUUGAUCGUUGAUAUUUCAUUAUUGGCAUAUUCAAUGCUUUUUACUGAAAUUUGAAGAAAGAACAUAGCAUGCUUUUUACGAAAGGUGGAAGAUAGAUUGUGGCAUGCUUUUUAUUGAAUGGUGGAAGAGUGAACAUAGAACAAGUGUAGCAUGAGUCUGACAUAAGUUUUACCUGGCCACAAUAUAAAAAAUCUAAAAAUGAUAACAAAAUGGCUGGCAUUAAUGGAAAAAUAUAAACUGACAUUGUUUUUUGAUUUUGUAUGUCAUAUUUGAAUACUAAUCGAGUUCAUAACACUGAUGAAUCACAUCAUAAUAUAUGGUCAUUAACUAUGUUGCUCAAACGUCAGUUUAUAGAGGAAAAUAUCAGUAAUCAAUGGAUCUCUAAUUACUAAACUGAUACUGCUAGUUAAAGGUAUCAUUUUGAUUUUGUAGGAUAAGAAUACCCUUUGUGUGCAACAUGCUCUUUAAAUAGGAUUUGCAGUGCCUUUGAACAGAAAUGGAGGAUCACUCGAUUUUGAUUAUUUUCACCUCUCUUUCCUGGAUUAGUGAGUUCUACUAUAAACUGCUAUUAUUAAACUAUCCAUUACUAAAUAAAUCGAGCAUUAUCUAUAUGCUAAGAGCUCAUUUUUGGAGUUUUUGAAACCUUGUUCUGUCUAGCGUAUGUUGUAAUCCUAGGGUUUAAUUGAAACAUGGCAGAUGGCUUAUUAGGAUGGGUGAUCAAUGCAUUGCAACGAGACCUUAUGGUUGUGUUUUCCUCUUGGGAAAAAGAUGGGCAGAGAAAGAGCAGUUAACAAAGAACCAUGGACAUCAAGCAUCAAGCAUUCGAGUGGGUAGACAAUGGGCAUGACAUGUAUGACUUCCAAGCUUAAACUAUAUAGUAUUUGCCACUUUCACUUUGUAGGGACAGCUAGUUGUGUUUGGCGCAAGCAUAUGUAUUCCAAGGCCUAUAGCAAGGGGGGAUUAUAUUCUGCAAAGGUGGUUUGGUGCAGUAAUGGUGGCAGGCAUAGAUCUUUGGACACCAGCUGUUUUGGAAGAAGAGCGCAUGCUUCCAUGUUCUAUUGUGGGAAAAAAUGGGUACAAGAUCCAAAGGAGUAGCUUGAUUGAGACAAAUAAGCAGGGAUUGGUCUUAUUAUGGACGGACAUGGGAAGAGCGAUCCAGUUGCAAAGCAUAUAAUUAAUCUCCGUUGAAUCUUCAUGCCCCACAUUGGCUAGAAAUCAUGGCUUUUUGUGUUGCUCUGUUUGCACUAUGGCCAUGCAUUACAUGGAAAAUAAACCAAUAUACUCGAUGCAAAGAAGAUGGCUCAAAAGCCGAAGGUUUAACUCACAGUUUUUUGCAAACAAGAUGAUGUCUACUUCCACUUUUUCAUAAUUGUCAGGCCAACUUUGUGUGGCUAACGCAAAGUGUUUUAUCUUAUAAUUAAUAGUUACGUUUGGUUUCA